rnacentral:rRNA from 1 species
UACAGAGGGGGCAAGCGUUAUUCGGAAUUAUUGGGCGUAAAGGGCGCGUAGGCGGCGAUUCAAGUGACGGGUGAAAUCCCUCGGCUUAACCGAGGAACUGCCUGUCAGACUGGAUUGCUUGAGGCCGGGAGAGGCGAGUGGAAUUCCCAGUGUAGCGGUGAAAUGCGUAGAUAUUGGGAGGAACACCAGUGGCGAAGGCGGAUCGCUGGACCGGUUCUGACGCUGAGGCGCGAAAGCGUGGGGAGCAAACAGG